UGAUUGUGCCUACUAAUAGAUCACCCAGCUGGAGUGCAGUGACGCAGUCACAGCUCACAUCAGCCUCAACCUCCUGGGAUCAGACGAUCAUCCUACCUCAGUCUUCCCAAUAGCUGGGCUUAAAGGCGCACACAACAACACUGGCUAUUUUUUUUUUUUUUUUUUUUUGAGACGAAGUCUCUGUCACCCACGCUGGAGUACAAUGGUGCAAUCUCAGCUCACUGCAACGUCCGCUUCCUGGGUUCAAGUGAUUCUCCAGCCUUAGCCUCCUGAGUAGCUGGGACUACAGACGUGUGCCACCGUGUCCAGCUAAUUUUUGUAUUUUUAGUAGAGAUGGGGUUUCACUAUUUGGCCAGGCUGGUCUCGAACUCCUGACCUCAGGUGAUCCAUCCACCUCAGCCUCCCAAAGUGCUGGGAUUACAGGCGUGAGCCACCACGCCAGUCAAAAUGAUCUUUUAAUGGCUAGCAUACUCUUAAGAGUUUCUGUUGUGAUGCCUGUUACCUCAGAUCAUUAACAUCUUGAUGAUAAGGACCUGAUGAUAAUAUCUUUUGUUUCAGUUAUAUCCUCCAGCAGUGCCUACAUUUAUUUAUUCAGCAUCAGUAUGCUGAGUGUUCACUGGGUUCUAAGUGUUUUGAUAUAAGGUGUGGAUAUUGGUGGGAAGGAGGAUGGGUUCAAGAAUUGGGAGGAGCUUCCUAGGCAGAGAAUAUCAUGAGCAAAGUGGUUGAGACUUGAAAGUGUGGUGAUGCAGCCGCACCAUAAACCGUUUUGGCUGGAGGGCAAGUAGGUAGUAGGAAUUGGGUUAUUAGAUUUUGAGAACCUUCAUUAACCCAGGUAAAGUAUAGUCCUGUGUCAUUUGAUGCUGCAGAUACAUUCUGAGAAAUGCAUCGUUUGGUGAUUUUGUUGUGUGAACAUCAUAGAAUGUACUUACACAAACCUAGAUGGGAUAACCUACUACAUACCCGGGCUACAUGGUAUAGCCUAUGGCUCCUUGGCUACAAACGUCUAGAACAUAUUACUGUACUGAAUACCAUAGGCAGUUGUAACACAAAGGUAUUUGUGUAUCUAAGAUACAGUAAAAAUACAGGAUUAUAAUCUUGUAGGAUCACCAUCCUAUAUGUGGCCCAUGGCCCGUUGUUGACUGAAACGCUGUUGCACGGCACAUUACUAUUUAGUCUAUAUUUCUGUCGUCAUCAAGGUCGCAUCAAAGGUUUUGGGUAACUCGAUCCUAACUGUGUAAAAGGAUUGACCUGCUAGUGAUGUGUGGGACAAACUGGAGAGACUAAGACAGAGGUGCCAGUAAGGAAUCCAGAAGAUGGCUAAGGAGGAUCUGGAGCUAGGAUGGAAGUUAGGUAGAUCUAGAGGGAGGAUUGGAAGAGAUGUUGGGGAAGUUCAAUGGCUGGUAUGAGACAACUGGGUAAGUCAAAGAUCUGUGCAGAGAAUGGUGAGGCCAGUUGGCAGUGGGGACCUCAGGAAGUCCGUCUCAUUUGACCCGGUACCACUCUCCACCCCAUCCCCAGAUUAACAAGCAGAAUGAGCAGAUGCAUGCGCUGCUGGCCAUUGCCCUCACGAUGUACCCCAUGCGUAUCGAUGAGAGCAUUCACCUCCAGCUGCGGGAGAAAUAUGGGGACAAGAUGUUGCGCAUGCAGAAAGGUGACCCACAAGUCUAUGAAGAACUUUUCAGUUACUCCUGCCCCAAGUUCCUGUCGCCUGUAGUGCCCAACUAUGAUAAUGUGCACCCCAACUACCACAAAGAGCCCUUCCUGCAGCAGCUGAAGGUGUUUUCUGAUGAAGUACAGCAGCAGGCCCAGCUUUCAACCAUCCGCAGCUUCCUGAAGCUCUACACCACCAUGCCUGUGGCCAAGCUGGCUGGCUUCCUGGACCUCACAGAGCAGGAGUUCCGGAUCCAGCUUCUUGUCUUCAAACACAAGAUGAAGAACCUCGUGUGGACCAGCGGCAUCUCAGCCCUGGAUGGUGAAUUUCAGUCAGCCUCAGAGGUUGACUUCUACAUUGAUAAGGUAUGCCUGUCCCCUGGGCUUGGGGUCUUGUAUUAAGUGUUCACUAUCUUUCAUUCACUAUUGUGGGCACAUGAAGUAUAUCAGGGAACAAAAUCAAAGAUUCCUGGCCUUGUGGUGCUGCCACAAGGUGCCAGGUGUGGUGGCUCAUGCCAGUAAUACUAGUACUUUAGGGGAGGCUGGGGUGGGAGGAUCACUCUAGCCCAGGAGUUCAAGACCAGCCUGGGCAACGUAGUGAGACCUUUUCUCUAUUUACAAAAAAAAAAAAAAAAACACAAGAGAUAAACAAUAGAUGGUUUUGUUUUGGGUUUUUUUUGAGAUGGAAUUUCGCUCUCGUUGCCCAGGCUGGAAUGUGAUGGCACGAUCUCGGCUCACCGCAACCUCCACCUCCCAGGUUCAAGCCAUUCUCCUGCCUCAGCCUCCUGAGUAGCUGGGAUUACUGGCAUGCGCUACCAUGCCCAGCUAAUUUUGUAUUUUUAGUAGAAAUGGGGUUUCUCCAUGUUGGUCAGUCUGGUGUCAAACUCCCAACCUCAGGUGAUCCUCCAGCCUUGGCCUCCCAAAGUGCUGGGAUUACCAACAAUAGAUGUUAUAAUUAAACAAUAGAUGUUAUAAUUAAACAAACUAUGUAGUAAGAAGUUGCCAAGCACUGCAGAGUAAAGGAAGGCAGAGGUGGUGGGAAGCACAGGUUGCAGUGUUAAAUACGGUGUUCAGACAGGCUUUGUUGAGAAAGUGAAGUUUAAGCUAAGCUAAGACUUGAAGGAAGUGAGGGAGUAGUGUUUUGGGUUUGUUUUUUGUUUUUUGUUUUUGUUUUUGACAGUCUUGGUCUGUUGCCCAGGCUAGAGUGCAGUGGUGCAAUCUCGGCUCCCUGCAACCUCCGCCUCCCAGGUUCAAGCAAUUCUCCUGCCUCAGCAUCCUGAGUAGCUGAGAUUAUAAGAGGCUGCCACCACACCUGGCUAAUUUUUGUAUUUUUAGUAGAGACAGGGUUUUGCCAUGUUGGCCAGGCUAGUCUCAAACUCCUGACCUGAAGCGAUCCAUCUGGUGGAGAGUUCUUAAUAGCUCACCAAAGGCUGGACACGGUGGCUCAUGCCUGUAAUCCCAGCACUUUGGGAGGCCGAGGUGGACAGAUCAUGAGGUCAAGAGAUCAAGACCACCCUAGCCAACAUGGUGAAACCCCAUCUCUACUAAAAAUAAAUUAGCUGGGCAUGGUGGCGCAUGCCUGUAGUCCCAGCUACCCGGGAGGCUGAGGCAGGAGAAUCACUUGAACCCAGGAGGCGGAGGUUGCAGUGAGCUGAGAUCGCGGCACUGCACUGUAGCCUGGCAACAGAGCGACACUCCGUCUCAAAAAAAAAAAAAAAAUAGCUCACCGGAUAUCUGGAGGAAGAGCCUUCCAGGCAGAGGAACAGUUAGAGCAAAGGCCCCAAAGAGGAGUGAGGCCAAUAAGUUUAAGGGACAGUUGUAGUAUGCCCGAGUGGCCUGAGAAAGGAGGCUGUGUAGAUGAGGUUGGAGAAAGGGGGAUGGUGCUUUGUAUACUGUUGGAGUACUUUACAAGUGGGAAGCCAUUGUCCUGCUGCCUUCUUUAUUUUUUUAUUUUUAGUUAGCAAUAAUCACACCUCACAUAACCCUCAUUGGCCAUACUGCCACUGCACAAAGCUUUUUUUUUUUUUUUGAGAUGGAGUGUCAUUCUGUCGUCCAGGCUGGAGUGCAGUGGCACGAUCUUGGCUCACUGCAACCUCUGCCUCCCGGGUUCAUGCGAUUCUCUUGCCUCAGCCUCCUGAGUAGCUGGGAUUACAGGCUCACACCACCACACCCAGCUAAUAUUUUGUGUAUUUUUAGUAGAGACAGGGUUUCACUAUGUUGACCAGACUGGUCUCCAACUCCUGACCUUGUGAUCCGCCCACCUCGGCCUCCCAGAGUGCUAGGAUUACAGGUGUGAGCCAUCGUGCCCGGUAUUAUUUUAUUUUUAUUUUAUUUUAUUUUUUUUGAGAUGUCUCGCUCUGUUGCCUAGGCUGGAGUGCAGUGGCGCGAUCUCAGCUCACUGUAAGCUCCACCUCCCAGGUUCACGCCAUUCUCCUGCCUCAGCCUCCCGAGUAGCUGGGACUACAGACACCCGCCACCACACCUGGCUAAUUUUUUGUAUUUUUUUAGUAGAGACGGGGUUUCACUGUGUUAGCCAGGAUGGUCUCAAUCUCCUGACUUCAUGAUCCACCCACCUCGGCCUACCAAAGUGCUGAGAUUACAGGCGUGAGCCACUGCGUCCGGCUCUCUUUUUUGAGACAAGGUCUCACUCUGGUUGCCCAGGCUGGAGUGCAGUGGUAUGAUCUCAGCUCACUGCAGCCUCAACUUCCUGGGUUCAGGUGAUUGUCCUACCUCAUCCUCCCAAGUAGCUGAGAUUACAGGCGCACGUCACCACGACUGGCUAAUUUUUGGUAUUUUUAGUAGAGAUGGGGUUUAGCCAUGUUGCCCAGCCUGGUCUCGAACUCCGAUAUGUGCCACUGUUCCCAGCCGAUUUUAAGUUUUUACUUUAUAGAAACAGGGUCUCACUUUGUUGCCCAGGCUAGUUUCAAGUGAUCCUCCUACCUUGGCCUCCCAAAACGCUGGGAUUACUGGUGUGAGCCACUGCGCCUGUCCUGUCCUGAUGUCUAACAUCUUGGAUUAGUGCUGCCUGUUUGUGAACUUUAUAUAAUGGAAUUACACAGUAUGUACUCUUUAAGUCUGGUUUCUUUUGCUCAACGUUAUAAUUGAGUGAGUCACCGUCCAUUGUGUGUAGCAGUGAUUCCUUCAUGUUUAUUGUUCUGUGAUAGUCCAGCAUCUGCUGUUGUUAUUGUACUGCAGUUUAUCCAUUCUCCCAUUGAUUAACAUUUGGAUGGUUUGUAUAUUACAAAAAAUACAAGUAAGGUUUUUACAGAGUGGCUAGUAAUACAUUUAUAUGUGCCUAUGUAUGCCUCAAGUUCUUUCCAGAAGGAUAUACAAGCAACAUAGCAGUAGCUCCUCUCAGGAGGGGAGGUGGGUUGAAGAACAGUGUUAGUUUUCACUGGCACUUUUAAGUUCAAGCUGGACAUUUUAAUGUCUGAUGAGAUUUUCAUUUUUAUUUAUUUAUUUAUUUAGAGACAGAGUCUCAUUGUAUCACUCAGGCUGUAGUGCAGUGAUGUGAUCUUGGCUCACUGCCACCUCCGCCUCCUGGGUUCAAGCAAUCCUUCUGUCUCAGCCUCCUGAUUAGCUGGGACUACAGGCGCUGAUGAGCUGAUGAGGUUUUUAAAAGAAUUGUUUUCUUUUUUUUUAGACUGAGUCUUGCUCUUGUUGCACAGGCUGGAGUGCAAUGGCACAAUCUCGGCUCACCGGAACCUCUGCCUCCCGGGUUCAGGCGAUUUUCCUGCCUCAGCCUCCCGAGUAGCUGGGAUCUACGGGGAUGCGCCACCAUGCCCAGCUAAUUUUGUAUUUUUAGUAGAGACAGGGUUUCUCCGUCUUGGUCAGGCUGGUCUCGAACUCCCGCCCUCAGGUGAUCUGCCCGCCUCAGCCUCCCAAAGUGCUGGGGUUACAGACAUGAGCCACCACACCCGGCCGUCCGCCCAGGUUCUCUAAGAUCAGCAAAUGUCCAUAGGGCAGAGGGGGUCUUCUGUGCUUUUCUUGGAAUGGUUUCUUUUUUCCCAAAAUGUUCUGUUACUAUCUUGUCAGCUCUUUGAUGCUGUAAGUAAAUUCUUUUCUAAUAUCCUGCAUUUUUCAUUGUUUUUGAAAGCCUUUUGGGCCAGGUACAGUGGCUUAUAGCUAUAAUCCCAAUACUCUGGAAGGACGAGGCAGGAGAAUUGCUUGAGCCCAGGAGUUCAAGACCAGCCUGGGCAACAAACCAAGACCCUGUCUCUACUUUUUAAAAAGAGAAAAAGCAUGCUGGGCACGAUGGCUCAAGCCUGUAAUCCCAGCACUUUGGGAGGCCAAGGCGGGUGGAUCACCUGAGGUCAGGAGAUCAAGACCAUCCUGGCCAAUAUGGUGAAACCCUGUCUCUACUAAAAAUAUAAAAAUUAGCCAGGCAUGGUGGCACAUGCCUGUAAUCCCAGCAACUUGGGAGGCUGAGACAGGAGACUCACUUGAGCCCAGGAGACAGAGGUUGCAGUGAGCUGAGAUCAAGCCACCGCAUUCCAGCCUUUGUGACAGAGAUGAGACUGCGUCUUGAAAAAAAGAGAAAAAGCAUUUUGGUCUAAAUGUAUUGUUGGAAAUAGCACUUUUUGAGCAGUUCUUAAAAAUACAUAAUUUUAGGCUGAGUGCAGUGGCUCAUACCUGUAAUCCUAUCACUUUGGGAGGCCAAGGCGGGUAGAUCAUCAGAGGUCAGGAGUUCAAGACCUGCCUGUGCAACAUGGUGAAAACCCGUCUCUACUAAAAAUAUUUUAAAAAUUAGCCGGGCAUGGUGGUGCGUGCCUGUAAUCCCAGCUACUCGGGAGGCUGAGGCACGAGAAUCACCUGAACCUGGGAAGCAGAAGCUGCAGUGAGCCGAGAUUGUGCCACUGCACUCCAGCCUGGGCAACAGAGUGAGAGACUGUCUCAAAAAAAGAAAAAAACAUAAUUUUUAUACAUAAUUUGCAUGAUAAGCCGGGCGCGUUGGUUCACGCUAGUAAUCCCAGCACUUUGGGAGACCGAGCUAGGCGGAACACGAGGUCAGGAGAUCAAGACCAUCCUGGCCAAUAUGGUGAACCCCAUCUCUACUAAAAAUACAAAAUUAGCCGGACGUGGCAGCGCAUGCCUGUAAUCUCAGCUACUCCGGAGGCUGAGGCAGGAGAAUUGCUUGAACCCGGGAGGUGGAGGUUGCAGUGAGCCAAGAUUGUGCCAUUGCACUCCAUCCUGGGCAACAAGAGUGAAACUCCAUCUCAAAAAAAAAAAAAAAACUUGCAUGAUCCCAGCACUUUGGGAGGCUGAGGCAGGCAGAUCACGAGGUCAGGAGAUCAAGACCAUCCUGGCUAACACGGUGAAACCCCGUCUCUACUAAAAAUACAAAAAAUUAGCCGGGCAUGGUGGUGGGCGCCUGUGGUCCCAGCUACUCGGGAGGCUGAGGCAGGAGAAUGGUGUGAACCCGGGAGGCGGAGCUUGCAGUAAGCAGAGCUCGUGCCACUGCACUCCAGCCUGGGCGACAGAGCGAGACUCCAUCUCAAAAAAAAAAAUUGCAGGAUAUAAACUUCACCAUUUUAAAGUGUGCAAUUUGGCCAGGUGUGAUGCUUUACACCUAUAAUCCCAGCACUUUGGGAGGCCAAGGCUGGCAGAUCACUUGAGACCAGGAGUUCAAGACCAGCCUGGCCAACAUGGUGAAACCCCAUCUGUACUAAAAAUACACAAAUUAGCUGAGUGUGGGGUCGCAUGCCUGUAAUACCAGCUACUUGGGAGGCUGAGGCACAAGAAUCGCUUUAGCCUAGGAGGUGGAGGUUGCAGUGAGCCAAGAUCAUGCCACUGCACUCCAGCCUGGGUGACAGAGUGAGACCCUGUCUCCAUAAAUAAAUAGAAUGAAUGAAUGAAUGAAGAAUUCAGUGGUUAUUAGUAUGUUCACAGUGUUUUGCAACCAUCUCCACUGUCUAAUUCCCAAACAUUUCUGUCCCCCCAAAAAGAAACUCCCUACCCACUAGCAGUCACUCACAGUUCCCCAGUUCCCCCUUUCUGCUAUCCCCUAGCAAACCACUAAUCUGCUUUGGUCUCUCUGCAUUUGACAUUUCAGAUAAAUGGAAUCAUGUAAUAUAUGGACUUUUGUGUUUGGGUCCUUUCACUGAGCAUGUCUUCAAGUUUCAUCCAUAUUAUAGCAUGUGUCAGUACAUUCCUUUUAUAGCUGAAUAAUAUCCCAUGUGUUCAUGUACUGCAUUUUGUUUAUCCAUUUGUUGUUGGACAUUUGGGGUUUUUGGUUUUUGGGGGUUUUUUGUUCCUUUUUUCACUUUUUGGCUUAUGAAUAGUGCUGCUGUGAAUAUUCAUCUAGAAGUUAUUGUGUGAACAUAUGUUUUAAUUUUCAGAUAUAUAUCUAGUUGUGGAAUUUCUAGGUCAGUUUGGGUAGUUUGUUUUUGAAAGUUCAUUUUGCUUUAAAAUAAAUACUCUCAUUUCAUUUUUAUGGCUUCUGGAAGACUUGGUUUUUGCCAUAAGUUAGCUAGCCCGAUACAAACAGAUUUGCCAAAAGUAAUAACACGUCAGUAGUGGAAGUUUUCCAGUGUUUUAAAUCAUGCUUUUAUAAAUCAAAGAAACUGAGCCAGGCUUGGUAGCGUGUACUUGUAGUCCCAGCUAUGGGAGAGAGUCCCUUAUAGCCCCUGCCUUAGGAGGCUGAGGCAGGAGGAUGGCUUGAGCCCAGGCGUUUGAGGCUGCAGUGACCUAAGAUCUUACCACUGCAGUCCAGCCUGGGUAACAAAGUGAGACGCUGCCUCUAAAAAUAAAUAAAUAUGUAAAUAAAGAAAAAUAAAGAAAACUUCCUCCCUUGCCAGGGUCAUGUCAAGCCUUUUUUUUUUUUUUUUUUUUUUUUUUUUUUAAGAUAGCAUCUUAAUCCUCCAGUUGUCCAGGCUGGAGUGCAGUGGCAAAAUCACAGCUCACUGCAGCCUCAACUCCCAGGGGCUCAGGUGAUCCUCCUAUCUCAGCUUCCCAAGUAGCUGGGACUACAGGAGUGCACCACCACAUCUUGCUAAUUUUUGUAUUUUUUGUAGAGAUGGGGUUUUACCAUGUUGCCCAGCCUGGUCUCAAAUACAAACUCUUGGGCUCGGGUAGUCUGCCCACCUCUGCCUCCCAAAGUGCUGGGAUUGCAGGCGUGAGCCACCACGCCUCGCCUAGUUUUUUCUCAAUACCUGACAUAUAUACGUUCUUUGGCAAUUAUAGUAGCCUCCUGCAUUCCUCUGUCACCUCUUAAUUACCAGCCUAGCUAUUCUCAACUAAUCUGGGUAGUUUAACAAAACAUUUCUCCUAAGAAUUGGCUAUUUGAUUAUUAUUUAAUUGCAUGUUUUACUGUUAUUCCUCUGUUGCCGGUUCAGGUUUGUCUUUGGCAAAGUGCUUCUUUUUUUUUUCCUUUUUGACUCUUCAUUCUUAACUUGAAAGAAAUCCUAUCAGAGAUUUAGAAUGUUCUUAGGUCUUAACCUAGGGGAUAUAGAAAAUUUUAAAGUAAAAUGGUGUUCAAAAUAUUUUCAGCUAAAAACAAAACUUAAAGAUUGGACUAAUUUGCAAUUUUAUCAACAGUGUAGGAGCAUAAACUUUUUUUUUUUUUUGAGAUGGAGUCUCACUUUGUCACCCAAGCUGGAGUGCAGUGACGCAGUCUCGGCUCACUGCAACCUCUCCCUCCUGGGAUUACAGGUGCCCGCCACUACGCCCAGCUAAUUUUUAGUAGAGAUGGGGUUUCACCAUGUUGGUCAGGCUGGUCUUGAAUUCCCAACCUCCCAAAGUGCUGGGAUUACAGGUGUGAGUCACCGUGCCCAGCCAGCAUAAACAUCUUUAUUCCCAAAAUAAAAAAGACGAGGCUGGGCACGGUGGCUCAUGCCUGUAAUCCCAACACUUUGGGAGGCCAAGACGGGCGAAUCAUGAGGUCAGGAGAUCGAGACCAUCCUGGCUAACAUGGUGAAACCCCGUCUCUACUAAAAACAUACAAAAAAAAUUAGCCAGGCAUGGUGGCGGGUGCCUGUAGUCCCAUCUACUCGGGAGGCUGAGGCAGGAGAAUGGUGUGAACUCGGGAGGUGGAGCUUGCAGUGAGCCGAGAUCGCACCACUGCACUCCAGCCUGAGUGACAGAGCAAGACUCCAUCUCAAAAAAAAAAAAAAAAGACUAGAAAAUGAAAGACAAAAAAAAAGUCUAGAAAAUAAAAGUACAAAUGAAUUGAUAAAAAAUAUAUAUAUAAACUAGGCCGGGCACAUUGGCUCAUGCCUGUAAUCCCAGCACUUUGGGAAGCUGAGGCGAGUGGAUCACCUGAGGUCAGGAGUUUGAGACCAGCCUGACUAACAUGGUAAAAACCUCAUCUCUACUAAAAAUACAAAAAUUAGCCAGGCAAGAUGGCGGGCGCCUGUAAUCCCAGCUACUUGGGAAGCUGAGGCAAGAGAAUUGCUUGAACCCUGGAGGCGGAGGUUGCAGUGAGCUGAGAUCAUGCCAUUGCACUCCAGCCUGGGCGACAAGAGCAAAACUCCAUCUCAAAAAAAAAAAAAAAGAAAAGAAAAACUCUCUAGAAAGAGUGAGUUACUGUUAACUGGUGGUGUUUUUCCAGUGGUCUUUUCCCCACCUUUACAUCUAACACUCACCAUCAUUAUCACUUGCAAGUCCAUGGUGGCUCCUGGGGUAGAUGGCCCUGCUCCUCCACCUGGCUGCUCUUCCCUGACUGUGCUUUCCCCCACAGGACAUGAUCCACAUCGCGGACACCAAGGUCGCCAGGCGUUAUGGGGAUUUCUUCAUCCGUCAGAUCCACAAAUUUGAGGAGGUGAGAGAUCUGAGAGAAGAGGGGUUUGUUGGCUCAGGACAGAGCUUAGGAACUGAAUCGAGAGUUUACUUUUUUUUAAUUUUUAUUCCUUUAUUUAUUUUGAGAUGGAGUCUUGUGCUGUCGCCCAUGCUGGAGUGCAGCGACGUGAUCUUAGCUCACUGCAACCUCUGCCUCCUGGGUUCAAGCGAGUCUCCCUCCUCAGCCUCCCGCAUAGCUGGAAUUACAGGCGUGUGCCACCACACCCAGCUAAUUUUUGUAUUUAUGGUAGAGAUGGGGUUUCACCAUGUUGGCCAGGCUGGUCUCCAGCUCCUGGCCUCAAGUGAUCCAGUCCGUCUCAGCUUCCCAAAGUGUUGGGAUUACAGGCAUGAGCCACCAUGCCUGGCCUUUUAAAUUUUUCAUUUCUGUUAUUAAGAAAGCCUACUGCCCUCCAGCCUGGGCAACCGAGCAAGACCCUGUCUCAAGAAAAAAAAGAAAGAAAAAGAGACCAGGUGCAGUGGCUCAUGCCAGCACUUUGGGAGGCUGAAUUUGAGAUCAGGAGUUCACGACCAGCCUGGCCACAUGGUGAAACCUCAUGUCUACUAAAAAUUUAAAAAAUUAGCUGGGUGUGGUGGUGCGCACCUGUAAUCCCAUCUACGCAGAAGGCUGAGGCAGGAGAAUGAUUUGAACCUGGGAGGUGGAGGCUGCAGUGAGCAGAGAUCGUGCCACUACAAAAGAAAGCUUGAGGUUGGCCCUUUAAAUUUUCAAGCUAGACUGGCUGGCUGCUUGGGGUUUGGGGAGUGGGGUUGGGCCUGUAGGAAUUGCUGCAUCAGCCUUCUCCAGAGCAUCUCUUUCCAAGAUCUCCCUCUGCGGGUCGCCAGCUCUCCUCUCCCUCCCUGGUAUUUCCUAAUAUGGGUGGAUUCACUGCCUGCUCUUGCCCAUCCCUCCCCAUUUGGCAUUGUUUUCCAACUUAGACAGGUCUGGCUAGUUCCUGUAGGCUGGAGGAUAGGAAGCUCUGUUUUGACGUACUUGGUGCAUUCCUUGUCUUGCCCUAGGAGAGGUCUUGUGGGUCAGGCCAAACACUAAGGGUGUGGGUCUCUCUUUGUGGCCAUUGCUAGGGCUACUGUGUCCUGGUGCUUUGAGUUCUCCAGCAGAGGUCAGGCUCUUCCUGCAGGAUCAUAACAGCCCUGCUGCUCUUUUUACUUUCUGGCUGUUUAGAUCACAUCUAUCAGGGUGGUGGGCUAGGGCUGUCUUCUAACAAGGAUCCUGUUCAAAGCUUCUCAUUCUUCCCCUAACUGAACUAGUAACCUUGAAACGUCUGACCAGUCUGAAUCCUUUUUCUGUCAGAUGGAUAGAGCAGUGUUGGGUAUGGGUUUGUUGAGUGUGAAGGGCAGGUAGAAUAAUCUGCGUGAACUGUGCAGGGCCAUAUGAAUGUCACGGCUUUGCACACACAUAGUGGACACCCACAUCAGAAACUUCCUUUCUUGGCUUCAGAGGGGCAGCUGGGAAUCUGACCUAGUGAUCAUACACACUGUAGGAAAGGGGUUGGGGAAAUCCCCGUAUGUAACUUUGCUUUUCUUUCUCUUCUAGCUUAAUCGAACCCUGAAGAAGAUGGGACAGAGACCUUGAUGAUAUUCACACACAUUCAGGAACCUGUUUUGAUGUAUUAUAGGCAGGAAGUGUUUUUGCUACCGUGAAACCUUUACCUAGAUCAGCCAUCAGCCUGUCAACUCAGUUAACAAGUUAAGGACCGAAGUGUUUCAAGUGGAUCUCAGUAAAGGAUCUUUGGAGCCAGAUUUGUCGUCUCAUUAUUGUAGGAGACAAUUUGUGGGUUGUGGCAGUAAUACAUUUCCCAUGUGUCCUGAUGCUUUCAGGAUACAUCGGUUGUUAGUGUUUAAAUUAUUUUUAUUUUGUGCUUUUGAGAUGGAGUCUCACUCUGUCUCCCAGGCUGGAGUGCAGUAGCGUGAUCUCGGUUCGUUGCAUCCUCCACCGCCCAGGUUCAAGCAGUUCUGCCUCAGCCUUCCAAGUAGCUGGGAUUACAGGCGUGUGCCACCACACUCAGCUAAUUUUUGUAUUCUCAGUAGAGAUGGGUUUUACCAUGUUGGCCAGGCUGGUCUCGAACUCCUGGCCUCAAGUGAUUCGCCUGCCUUGGCCUCCCAAAGUGUGCUAGGAUUACAGGCAUUAGCCACCACGCCCUGCCUAAAUUCAAAAUCUUUUUUUUUUUUUUUUUUAACGGAGUCUCACUCUGUCGCCCAGGUUGGAGUGUACUGGCGCGAUCUCGGCUCACUGCAAGCUCCACCUCCCAGGUUCCCGCCAUUCUCCUGCCUCAGCCUCCGAAGUAGCUGGGACUACAGGCGCCCGCCACCAUGCCUGGCCAAUUUUUUGUAUUUUUUAGUAGAGAUGGGGUUUCACCGUGUUAGCCAGGAUGGUCUCAGAUUUCCUGACCUCGUGAUCCGCCCAUCUCUGCCUCCUAAAGUACUGGGAUUACAGGCGUGAGCCACCGUGCCCAGCCCUAAAUUGAAUUCUUAAAUCCCUCUUGUUCAUAAAGCAGUAUAUUUGGUUUACAGGACAUUUUCACGUUCAGUAUUUUGUUUGUGCGUCACAAGAUCCUAUGAACUUUAAAUGACCUAUAAUUUUCAUGACAUAUUUGUGGCAGUGCUGGGUCCUGGAAAGAAACUAUUAAACACCUCCUACUGCCAGGAACUGUGCAAAGAGGGAUCCAUAUACAUUACUUACACCUUACAACUCAGGUUUAGUGGUAGUUCCUCAUCUUAUUGAUGAGGAAAUGAACCCACAGUAGUUAGUGACUUGAUCAAGGUCACAUUAGGCAGCUGCUGGAGCUGAGCUAAAUGGUUUCCUGCCUACCCACAGUAUUAAUGCUAUACCUGUCACCCUAUAGUGGGUACUUGGACUGGAAGCCCCUGCUUGCAAGUUGUCUCACAUCUCUGCCUGGUUCCUUGUAUAUAAAAUAAGGUUAGCAGGCCAGGCGCAGUGGCUCACGCCUGUAAUCCCAGCACUGGGAGGCCGAGGCGGGCAGAUCACAAGGUCAAGGAGAUCGAGACCAUCCUGGCUAACAUGGUGAAACCCUGUCUCUAUUAAAAAUACAAAAAAAUUAGCCGGGCAUGGUGGCGGGUGCCUGUAGUCCCAGCUACUCGGGAGGCUGAGGCAGGAGAAUGGCGUGAACCCGGGAGGCGGAGCUUGCAGUGAGCCAAGAGAUCGUGCCGCUGGACCCCAGCCUGGGUUACAGAGCGAGACUCCGUCUAAAAAAAAUUAAAAAUAAGGGUAGCAGAACCUGGCUCACUGGGCAGUGGUGACGAAUAAAUGAGAAUGCUAUUUUGAGUGCCCAGUGCAGUGCCUGGCCUAUAAUGGAUGUUCAGUUACUGUUUCCCCACACUUGGAAUUCGUAAGCUUUUCAGUAUGCUCUUUUUCCCCAUUGGUUUGAUAAUUAUUAUUGGGAACUGAAUGGUGGUUCCCAAGAAGACAUGUCCAUAUCCUAAGCCCUGGAUGCCAUCAGCAUGACCUUAUUUGGCUGGCAUGCAGUGGCACGAUCUCUGUUCACUGCAACGUCUGCCUCCCAGGUUCAAGCUAUUCUACCUCAGCCUCCCAAGUAGUUGCAUGCCACCAUGCCUGGCUAAUUUUUUGUAUUUUUAUUUUUGUUUAUUUAUUUUUUUGAGACAGAGUUUUGAUCUUAUUGCCCAGGCUGGAGUGCAAUGGCGCGAUCUCGGCUCACUGCAACCUCCGCCUCCGGGGUUCAAGCGGUUCUCCUGCCUCAGCCUCCCAAGUAGCUGGGACUACAGGUGCACGCCACCACGCCUGGCUAAUGUUUGUAGUUUUAAUAGAGACGAGGUUUCGCGAUGUUGGCCAGGCUAGUCUCGAACUCCUGACCUCAGGUGAUCUGCCUGCCUCAGCCUCCCAAAGUGCUGGGAUUAUAGGCGUGAGCCACUGCGCCUGGCUUUUUUGUAUUUUCAGUAGAGACUGGGUUUCACCAUGUUGGUCAGGUGGGUCUCAAACUCCUGACCUCAGAUGAUCACCCAUCUCGGCCUCCCAAAGUGCUGGGAUUACAGGCGUGAGCCACAGUGCCCGGCCUUCUUUGUUUUGUUUUUGUUUUUGUUUUUGAGAUGGAAUCUUGCUCUGUCGCCCAGGCUGGAGUGCAGUGGUGCAAUCUCAGCUCACUGCAACCUCCACCUCCUAGGUUCAAGAGAUUCUCCUGCCUCAGCCUCCUGAGUAGCUGGGACUACAGGCACCAUUUCUCCUGCCUCAGCCUCCUGAGUAGGUGGGACUACAGGCACCCACGACCACACCUUGCUAAUUUUUAUAUUUUUUUAGUAGAGAUGGUGUUUUGCCAUGUUGGCCAGGCUAGUCUCAAACUCCUGACCUCAGGUGAUCUGCCUGCCUCAGCCUCCCACAGUGCUGGUAUUACAGGCGUGAGCCACUGUGCCCAGCCAGCAUGACCUUAUUUGGAAGAAGGUCUUAAUGGUUGUAAGUUAAAGAUCUCAAAAUUAGAUCAUUGUGCUUGCUUUAGCAGCACAUGUACCAAAAUUGGAAUGAUGCAGUUUAGCAUGGCCCCUGUGCAAGGAUGACAUGCAAAUUUGUGAAGUGUUCCCAUGUAUUAAAAAUACAUUUUUAAAAAUGAGAUCAUUCUGGAUUAUCCAGGUAGGCACUAAAUCCAAUGACAAGUGUCAUGAGAGACACUGAGGAAAGAGACAGGAGGAGAAGGCCACGUGAAGACAGGCUGAUGGAGUUAGCAGGCACAAGCUAAAGAAUGUGCGGGGCCACUGGGAGCUGGAAGAGGCAGGGAUGGCUUCUCCCCUGGAGCCUUUGGUUUUGGACUCGUGGCUUCUGGAACCGUAAGAGGAGAAAUCUCUGUUGUUUAAGUCCCAAGUCUGUGAUAAAGCAGCCCCAGGCAGGAAUUGAAUGCAGUGCCUCCUGUGUAUCAAGCCAUUGGAGGAUUCAGGGACAGAAAGCUGGGUCCUUUUCUACGAGCAAACCAGCCAGGCACUGAUAGGCAAGGGGGAAGUCGGGACGUGGGAAAAGACCGAAUUCCUGUCUUCAGACUCAAAUUCUGAUGGUUGAAGACAGGUGAUAAGCCAUAUUUAGUGUGUUGGAUGGUGGUAUGUGUUGUAGAGAAAAAUCGAAGGCAGGAGUUUCUAUUGUGAAUAGGAUAGUCAGGGACCACACUGAUGGGCGUCAUUUGAGCAGAGACCUGAAGACAUUAGGAGGGGGAUGGUGCAAGUAUGUGAGGCAAGAGCUCUCCAGGAAAAAAACUGCAAGUACAAAGGUCCUGAGGCCAGAGCAUGUUUUAUAUGUGGAGCAAAUGGAGCAAGAAGGCCAGCUGGAGCAGAAGGUAGCAAGGAGGAAGAGGCCAGAUCCUGGAAUGAGGCUCCAGGUUGUAUGUAAGGCCUUGUAGAUGACUGGAAGGACCAACUUUGAAUCUCAGUGAGGUGGGAAGCCAUCCUUCACCAGAGAGGUUGCAGAACUUUGUCCAAGUUCCCAGAGCUAAAGGAUGGAGCCAGGAUUUUAUUUAUUUUUUGGGACAAGAGUCUCGCUCUAUUACCCAGACUGGAGUGCAGUGGCACAAGCUUGGCGCACUGCAAUGCAACCUCUGCCUCCUGGGCUCAAGCGAUCCUCCUGUCUCAGCCUCCAAAUUAACUGGGACCACAGGCAUACACCACCAUGCCCAGCUAAUUUUUUAUAGUUUUGUUUGUAUAGAUGGUGUUUUGCCAUGUUGCCCAGACUGCUCUUGAACUGAGCUUAAGCAGUCCACCUGCCUUGGCCUCCCGAAAUGCUGGGAUUAUAGGCAUGAGCCACUGUGCCCGGCCCCAAAGGAAUUUUUAAAAAGCAGCCUCUAGUUAUAAGUCCAAACAUUUGUAGAGCUCUUGGUAGCUUUCCAAGCCGUCCUUCAUCUGUUGCCUUGUUGGAACCAAAUGAGUGGCCCAGUGCCAGCCAGGGCUCCUUACCCCCCACUCCCUGGCUUGGACCACAUGGUUCCUUGGUGCAGGGAGGUUGCUGUGCAUUGAUUCCUCCUAAAGAAUGUCUCAUGCUUUGUCCACUAUGCCCUGACAUUUGGUGAUGGUGGCUUGCAGGAACUCCGACUCAACUGGGCAGCCCCCUGGGUUAAUGUGUUUUGAAUUCAAUGCCAGUUUCAUAGUUCAUGUCAUAGUUCUCUAUCAUUACAAUUAUGCCAGGUCCAAGUGUGUUGUCUGACACGGCUCUUGGCACUCUUUUUGCUGUGAGGCCAUUGCAGGCACUCUGGGUCACACAGACCCAGUGUGUAUGAGUGCCUGGCUUGGGGCCAUCUCCCAGCAGCUUGGUCCAGGCUCGGCAGCCGGGCCAGGCAGCUAGCAACCCCUGUGAGGGGGCAGGCACAGCUGGACUCUGCCUGGCACCACUCGCGGAAUGCACAGCAUUCAUCAGCUGUGGCCAGCUCAGGAUUUUUAUUCCAUCAGAGCAGAAUAACCAGGUUCAUGAUCCCCCCCAUGCUAAGGAGAGCAAGGGCUUUGUUAUCGGGGAAUGGGGAGCUCUGGGUGGUACCAGUUUCCAGAAGUUUCUCCACCAGCAAGAGAAGGGGGCAGAGCAAAGUGUGUAGGCUUGGACUUCCUUGGACCCUGGUCUGAGUCCUGACUGCCACAUACCAGCUGAGCCAAGUUGCGUAGUUUUCAGUGCCUCACCUUUCUCUAAAAUGGGGUUAGCGCCUGCCUCAGAAUUGUUCUGUGCACCAAAUUAUGUAAAGUUCUUAGCAAAGCACCUGGCAGUAGUGUGUGAUAAGGGGAGGAGGGCCUUACUAAAACACUUGGGUAGAGUGUGUGAUAAGGGGAGGGAGGCCAUUGUUACCUGGCCAUGACCUUGGCCUCCAGAGCCGUAGAGCUAUAGAUGACUGAGGCAGGUCAUGUGUGGAACAGCCCGGCUACUUCCUGGUGGAGCUGGGACUGGAAACCUCCAGACUCCCCCCUGGGGCUCUCUUAACUGCUCCAAGGACCAAAGAGAAGGCCUGUUUAGACAGUGUGGAGGUCCAUUCACAGAGGCCAGGGCACUUGUCUAGAGCAGCCAGCCACGGAGGAGCUGGGCCCCACGCACAGUGUCGGCAGCAGGCAUGAGGGGAGAAUUGGAGAGAUUGGGAGGUUGCAGAGGACAGGACUUGGAUGUGGCAGCUGAGUGGAUGUGGAGGCUGUAGGGAAGUGAGAUGCCCAGUUCUCAGGCUGUCUGAGAUGGGGGUUGGUGGCUGGAGCAGGUUUGGGACUGGAGGAGGUAAGUGCAAGUGGGUAAGGAACAGGAGUUUGAGGAGCCUGUGGAACGUCCAGGUGGAAGUGCCCAGGGCCUAACAAUUUGGGCAGAGGCAAUGAACAGCUGGGGCUGGAACCCUGGUCCCCAGGCCCCUAGGCUAGAGCUGGUUCCUCCUCAGACAAGUCCCUGGUGGGCUUGGCACACUUAUUCUUUUUUUUUUUUGAGAUGGAGUUUUGCUCCUGUUGCGCAGGCUGGAGUGCAAUAUCAUGAUAUCAGCUCACUGCAAUGUCCACCUCCCGGGUUCAAGCGAUUCUCCUGCCUCAGCCUCCUGAGUAGCUGGGAUUACAGGUGCCUGCCACCAUGCCUGGCUAAUUUUUGUAUUUUUAGUAGAGACGGGGUUUUGCCAUGUUGGCCAGGCUGGUCUUGAACUCCUGAUCUCAGGUGAUCUGCCUGCCUUGGCCUCCUGAAGUGCUGGGAUUACAGGUGUGAGCCACUGCGCCCAGCCUGGGCUUGGCACACUUCUUUCCACACAGUCCCCCUCUCUGCAUCCUUCUCCUACACUGGAUUGUGAGUCCAAGUUGGGGGCGUGGGGUGCUUUUCCUCCUAUGAUCGCCUUGACCAUAGGUGGCUCCUGAUGGCUUCAUCUUCUAAAUGAGGCAGUGGGACUAGCCGCUGUCUGGGGGCUGCAGCCCUGCAUUCUAGAAUUCUGGGUGACAUCCUAAGGAUCUAAAUGGAUCUAAUAGGAGGAAAGAGGCAGCACUUGAGAGCAAUGACCCUUUCGGUAAAGCGAUUCUGUUGAAUGAAUGGUGAAUGCAAGAGGAAGUAAGUGAAUAAGGAUUGAAUGCAACAAUAUCAGUAUAGGAAUAAGGCUGGAGUGUGCCUUAAAUCCUGUCUGGAAUGUAGCGGCACAGAUGAAUUGAUGAAUGGAUGUGCUCUCCAGCCCAGCCUUUAGCCAGGGAAAGCCGUGGCUGUGCCCACGCUGGCUCUUGCUAACAGUGGCCUCCCGUCCCCACCCCCAGCCUGCCCUGCAGACUGGAUAUAGGCUGGAGUGGCUGUGGCCCGGGUCAGGAACUGGCCUCCAAUGUGGGGGAAGGGCAUCAAGAAGAAGCUGAGAGGGAGGCAAGGGAAAGGUCCAAAGCCUGAUCAGCAAGUUCCUGAGAUUUUCCCGAAGGAGAGGGCUAGGGGAAGCAGCACCUUGUCUUGGUUCCUGUGGCUCCACAUUCCUGUCAAGCCUGCAGCUGAAAGACCUGGCUUUUCUUUCUUUCUGGCCCCACCCUGCCCCUAUCCAGCCACCUGAUUAAGAUCAAGUUAUCUCCUUCACGCCCUGACUCCCACCCCUACUUUCUUACCUGGGGCCAGUGGAUCCUGAGAGGGUGGACUUCACUCUCUAGUCAUGGUUGGGAAGUGGAAGGGAGUCUAGGUUCAAACCCUGACGCUGCCCCCUUGAAACUGGAAAAUUCCAGGCACUUGGCUUAACUUCUCUGAGCCUCUGCUUUGUCAUAG
rnacentral:sRNA from 1 species